UGGAGGGUCAUUGGAAACUGGAAAACUUGAGUGCAGAAGAGGAAAGUGGAAUUCCAUGUGUAGCGGUGAAAUGCGCAGAGAUAUGGAGGAACACCAGUGGCGAAGGCGACUUUCUGGUCUGUAACUGACGCUGAUGUGCGAAAGCGUGGGGAUCAAACAGGAUUAGAUACCCUGGUAGUCCACGCCGUAAACGAUGAGUGCUAAGUGUUAGGGGGUUUCCGCCCCUUAGUGCUGCAGCUAACGCAUUAAGCACUCCGCCUGGGGAGUACGACCGCAAGGUUGAAACUCAAAGGAAUUGACGGGGACCCGCACAAG
rnacentral:rRNA from 1 species